GGACCCCAGUGAUGUCCAGCACUGGGCUCUGAUCUGUGAAGACAUGGUGCUCUCCCGGGACCUUUGACACCUGGGGGUCUGAGGGGUCC